GGCCUUACAAUCUUAACCCCGACCCCCUAUAUUAGAUGCGUCUGGCUCGACCGGACUAUGACGAUAAACGGCUGCGUAAUAAGCGGACUGGACCCGGGGGCGGUACCCGGCGCCUCCACCACCUGCCCUCUGAGGAGGCCAGCUGUGGGGGCGAAAUAGGAUCGACAGACGUGUAAAGGCUGACCUUUCGUUCGGUAUGGUAUCCGCCGUUAUCGGG
rnacentral:tmRNA from 1 species